rnacentral:rRNA from 1 species
UACGUAGGGAGCAAGCGUUGUUCGGAUUUACUGGGCGUAAAGGGCGCGUAGGCGGCAUGACAAGUCACUUGUGAAAUCUUCGGGCUUAACCCGGAACGGCCAAGUGAUACUGUCGCGCUAGAGUGCGGAAGGGGCAAUCGGAAUUCUCGGUGUAGCGGUGAAAUGCGUAGAUAUCGAGAGGAACACCUGAGGUGAAGACGGGUUGCUGGGCCGACACUGACGCUGAGUGCGCGAAAGCCAGGGGAGCAAACGGG